rnacentral:rRNA from 1 species
UUUCUUUUUUAGUAAAUUAUUUUAAUAAAUUAAAAUUUUUAGUUAAUAAUUAAUUUUAUAUAUUAAUUGCAAAAUAGAAAGUAUUAAUUAGAUUGAAUUAUUUUUUAGUACCUUUUGUAUCAGGGUAAAUUUAUUUAUAAAAUUAUUAUUAUUCCCGAAUUUAAAAAAUUUAAUUUAAAAUUAUUUAAUUUGUUUUAUAACAUAUAUUUAUUUUAUUUUAGUAAUUAAAAGUUAAACGUUUUUAAUAUAUAUCUGGUUUCUUUAGAUUAAAUUUAAUUUUUAAUUAUUUAUUGUGCUAUAUUUUUAUUGUUUUAAUUAUAUUUUUUAAAGGAUAAACUUUAAUUUUUUUUACAAAUUUAUAUUUUAAUAUAUAAAUAAUCUUUUAAAUUUUGUAUUAAGUUUUUAAUAAAUUAAUGUAUUUUUAUAAAAUUUUAUUUUUUUUAAAAAUUUAUAAAGUUUAUUUAAAAAUUUUUUAAUUAUUUUUAAUAAUGAUUUUAUUAGUAUAAUUUAAAAUUAUAUUUAUUGAAUUCGACAAUUAUAAUUUUCAACUGUUUAUCAAAAACAUUUCUUUUAGUAAAUUUUUAAAAGUAAGUUCUGCCCAAUGAGUGUUUAAAUGGCUGCAGUAUUUUAACUGUACAAAGGUAGCAUAAUAAUUAGUCUUUUAAUUGAGGGCUUGUAUGAAUGAAUAAAUGAGAAAUUUAUUAUAAUUUUUAUAUUUUUAUAAUUUAAUUUUUUGGUAAAAAAGCUAAAUUGUUAAUUUAGGACGAAAAGACCCUACAAGAACUAUUUUUAAAUUUAUAAAUUUAUUUUUGAUUUUAAUUUUGAUUUUAAAUUUAAAUUUUAUUGGGGUGAUAAUUAAAUUUAAGCUUUAUUUUUUAAAUUCUUUAAUAAAAGAUAAUUUUGAUUUAAAAGUUUAAUUUAAGAUAAAGUUACCUUAGGGAUAACAGCGUUAUUUAAAUGGAGAGUUCUAAUUUAUAUUUAAGUUUGCGACCUCGAUGUUGAAUUAAGUUAAUAUUAAGGGGCAGUUUCUUUAAUUUUAAGUCUGUUCGACUUUUAAAAACUUACAUGAUUUGAGUUCAAACCGGUGUGAGCCAGGUUGGUUUCUAUCCUAAUUUUAUAUUUUAUUUUAGUACGAAAGGACCAAAUAAAUCAUUAUUAAUGUUAUUUU